GUAUAAUUUUGGAGUUAUAUAAAUUGUAUAAAAAGUGUACUUUUUGCCUGGAGAUAAUUGAGCUGAUACAGUAAUUAGCCUAAUUAUCUCCCAAGCAGAGGGGAGGAAUUUACUGUAAUUAUUGGGAGUUUUUUAACUGUGUGUCUGUAAAUGAUUGGUUGUUGAGUUUGUGUUUUCAGUGCCCAACAAGGUCCACAUGGGCGGUAACCUUGUGGGGAAAUGUGUAUAUAAGAAGCAAUAAAGCCUUAGUGCAUUCUGUUCCUGCUUAACCCUAAAUCUAGAGUCUUGGCUCUUAUUGGGGGAAUUGUUAUAUCACUACAAGGGAUUGCUAUGCUCUGCAUACU